UACGUAGGGGGCAAGCGUUGUCCGGAUUUAUUGGGCGUAAAGAGCGUGUAGGCGGUCAGGUAGGUCCGUUGUGAAAACUCGAGGCUCAACCUCGAGACGCCGAUGGAAACCAUCUGGCUAGAGUCCGGAAGAGGAGAGUGGAAUUCCUGGUGUAGCGGUGAAAUGCGCAGAUAUCAGGAGGAACACCGGUGGCGAAGGCGGGUCUCUGGGCAGUUACUGACGCUGAGGAGCGAAAGUGUGGGGAGCGAACAGG
rnacentral:rRNA from 1 species